rnacentral:tRNA from 1 species
ACCUGGGUGGCUCAGUCGGUUGAGCUUCUGACUUCGGCUCAGGUCAUGAUCUCAUGUCUUGUGGGUUCAAGUCCCGCAUCUGGCU